rnacentral:lncRNA from 1 species
AAUUCAAUUGUUUAGACGAAAAUAAUAAUAUUUCAUUUGUAAUUUAAAAUUUUAAAAUAAAUUAAAUUAAAUUUUUGUCCAAAAAAAGGAUAGAGAUUGAAAUAUUACUAUUUAAUUUAUGAUGUGAAUAAGUAGAUUUUAAGUAAGAUUUUAACAAUUUCAAUUUGUUUCAAAAUAUUUCAAUUUGACUUUUACAAUAAAUAUAAUGAAUUUUUAUUUAUUUUUUUAUCAAUGGAGUUCCUUUUUUAUUGGUAAACAUACAAUAAUAUAAUAGGGGAUUUCCCAAGUGAUUACAAAAAAUGAAAGGUAGUAAAUUUAAAGAUAUUGUAGCAGAUGCCAUUGAAGAGUUAAUAAAUGGGUACAUACUCACGUGAUAUUUUGUGAUUAAUUUAAUAUUAGACAUUAAUUAAAUCUAACAGUUGUUAUUAAUAUGGAGCAUAUCUAAUAAGAACUUUUGUUUACUCUAAUUUAAAAAUUGAGAAUUAUUAAUAGUAAUUGAUAAAUUACAAUUAAGAUUAAAAAAAUCCAACUAAAUAGUAACGUGACUCCUCUCUUUUUAACCUCUAUGAUUUGCGAAUGAACACUACCGUAAGUAAGGUGUUCACUGUCAAAUCGAUAUAAAAUAGAAAUAAAAACUACAAAUCAAUCCAAAAAAAUCGAAAGCUACACAUAAUCGAAUAUUAUUUCAUAUGUUUAGAUCCUCUCUAAUAAAAACCGCACAAAUUGAAUCAGAUUUCGAAUUAAAUUUUUAAAAUCGAACUAACAUGCAUAUAUAUGUAAAUUUUAAUACUUAUUUAUUUUUUUAAGAGUAUUAAGUAUUGAAUAAAUUUAUUAUUUGUUAGUUAUCAUUUUUAUUAAUAAUACUUAUUUGUUUAAUUUCGUUUUAUUUUACUAUUUCAUACAUUUCAAACAUAAUCUAUCAACGUUAUUUCAAAAUGUUAAUUCUUUGUAAACUAUACAUUAUAUUUAACUUUAUAAUAAAAAUAUUCAAUCAAUAUUUUAUAAUUGUAAUUUCCAUAAUUGAAAAUCAAUCUAAUUUAAAUUGAUUAGUUCGAAAAGGAAUUUUUGUUUUAAAUCUUAUCCAAACCGAAUCAAAUGACAAAUAUUUUAUGUUUUGAAUCGGAUGAGUUUUUCCCUCAUCGUAACUAAUUAUAUAUAGAUGUAAUUCAUAUACACUAUCAAUGUAAAGAGUUUUUAUACUAUCAUUUAACCAAAACAAUUAAAUCAUUGUAAAUGUAUGACUUUUAAGUUUUAUCAUCACUUCUUCUAAAAUCAUGUUCUUAAAUAAUUGUGUUGUAGCGAUAAUUUAAAACUUUUUAAACUAAUAAUACCCGAUAAUUAUAAUAUAUAUAUAUAUCUAUAUAUAUAAAGAAUGGAUGCUUCAAUAAUGUUAACUAGUUACGUGAGUUAAUAUAUAAUUCGAAUAUUUAUACAAUCGAAUAUGACUCUACAGUCUCCCAAAAUAAAUCUUCCUCAAGAAAAAACUCCAAAUAAUCAAUUUAAAGGAUAUAUAGUCACUUGAAUUUUACCAAAAAAUAUAUUGUCCGUUGAUGUAAUUUCUUAGCUUGUACUAUUUCAUUGGCCCUUUUGAGACCUUUUAGCCGAUUUUUAUAUCAUGCCAUGUGUGACAAGUAUUAUUUGUUCUGGAGUGGCCCGUACGCAUGGAUAAUCAAUUCGUUAAUUAUGAAUUGGCGUCCGAAGAUUUCACGGGAAUAGGAGAGAUGCAAGUAAGAUUGGUUAAUUAGAUUUAAUUAAUUAGAAUGAUACGAAAACCCUAUAAAUAAUCUUCAGUUUUAAUUUUGGGAUAAUUGAUAUUAGCUAAUGGCUAAUCGAUUAGGUAAUGAUCAGAAACUUAAAAUAAUUAGUAGACGACAAGUAAUGGUUAGGACUUACAUGAGGUUGAUUAGUAAUUUAAUAGUUAAGGGUGGAUAAUUAAUUACUUAUAGGUACUUCACUAAUAAGGAUUAGAUUAGUAACUAUGAUAAGUAUGAUGUAAUUUUAUGUGUUGAAAGUGUUUGAGAUGAUGAUUAUUGAGAUUAUUUAUCUAUAUGAUGUUUGUGUUUGUGAUAAUGAUGAUGAAUAUUAUAGUAAUGUAUUUAGUUGCAAAUAAAGAUUAAGUUAUGUUAACUAUUAAAUUAUGUUGAUGAUAAUUAUUUCUUCUACAUGUGUUUGUUGUACUAUAAUUAGAACAUGUAGGAGUUGUGUAAUGAUAAAAUCAAAGUAGAAGAUUGAGGAUAUUUUUGGAGUAUUAUUGAUAAAAAAAAAUUUACGUACAGACAAGAAAUAUGUUGAUGGCAUUCUCCUCUUGAAUACGGAAUUACUCUUUUGUUAGUAAUGGAAAAAAAAAAUAUGAAAAAAGCGAGUGAAUCACUAGAACUAUUGUAACUAAAAAAGAUAGAGUUACUUUACUCUUCUAUUGAAUUCUAUUUUGAAUAUAAAUUUUAAUGAAAUGCGAAUUGAUUUUUCUUUUCUUUUUUUAUAAAAAAGAAAGGACUAUAUUUAAUUGAGGUUGUUACAUUGAAAGAAAAAUAUAAUAGAUGAAAAAGAAUUUGUUUUUUUAUUCAGCAUGGUGGUUUAUUUAUUUUGAUAAUUUUAUUAUAUGAAUUAUAUUCUACCACUUGCCGGAAUUCAGUUUUCAGAAAAUUUUAAUUUUUUUAUGAUAUCGUUGACAAUCAUAAAAAGACAAUUAUUCGCUUUUAAUAUAGUUAUUUGUGCAACUAUUUUAUGAUUAAAAAGCAAACUAAGUUUUUCUAUUCAUAAGGUAGUAAGUGGUUUUUCUACCCCUAUUAAUCCAAAAUAAGUUAAUUUAUCAUAAGUAUGCAUAUCCUUCUAAAUGUCGAUUGCAUUAAAAAUGGGGAAUCGUGACAAUUGUCUAAAAUCGCUACAUUUUAGUGUAUAAUAUGUCAGAUUUUAGGACCGAUCUAGUUUAGCUCCUCCACCAAUAGAUUUCCAUGGAUAAUGUUCUAUCCUUGGUCUAUAGUUUAAUUUUUAUUAAUUUUAGAAAAUUUCAAUCAGAAUUCCAAGGGUAAUACUUAUGUCCAUGUCUUACUCUUGUAUAGCUAGUAGUAUCCAUAUUCAUAUUCUAUCAAUUAAUUUUAUUAUAUUAUGUUCCACGUUCUACAGAUGUGCAAUUUUGGUUGAAAGCCAUGGGAAUCCCCUGCAAAUCUUGCAAACAAUUCUGCUUGCUGCUAAUAAACACAAGGGUCCCUCUUAUGAUGUGAAUUAGUAGAUUUCAAGUAAGAUUUUAACAAUUUUAAUUUGUUUCAAAAUAUUUUUUUCAUGAAAUGCAAAAACUAAGUAAAUAAUUAAUAUUAUUCUAUAAGAUGUGUACCAGAAAAAACAACGAAAUAUCUAAUGAUUUCUAAUUCUUCAAACAAAAUUUCUCCAUUAAAAUUAGAAGAAUUGUCACAUUUUCACAAGUUUCAAAGUAUUUACAUCAUAUUUUAAUUUAAGCUAUUAUCAAAGAAUGGUAUAACCGUUAAUACUAGACAAAAUUAAAAAUAUUAUCAAAUAAAGUGUGUUAUACAACUUAAAUUUUCUAUUAAGUGAGCAAUUGUUAAUUUUUUAUUUGAAUACAUCUUUAGCUAUAUAAUUUUUAUUUCUUAAUAUUUAUAUAUCUUGACUAAUAUUACUGAAUUAAAAAUUAAAAUUAAAAUUGGUGUCUCUAAAAAAUUGAGGUCUUGAUCAUUUGCUCAUCUCAACCGCCCUUAGAGUCAUCACUACGGUCAAUCACAAAUAUUGAAUCAUUAUAGAUAUUUAAUUUUUAUAAUAAAUAUAACGAGUUUUUAUUUUUUUUUUACCAAUGGAGUUCCUUUUUUAUUGGUAAACAUACAAUAAUAGAAAGGAGCUUUCUCAAGUGAUUACAAAAAAUGAAAUGUAGUAAAUUUAGAGAUAUUGUACCAAAUGUUAUUAAGAGUUAUUAGAUGGGUACAUACUCACGUGAUAUUUUUUGUGAUUAAUUUAAUAUUAGACGUUAAUUAAAUCUAACGAUUGUUAUUAAUAUGGAACAUAUCUAAUAAGAACUUUUGUUUCUCUAAUUUAAAAAACGAGAACUAUUAAUAGUAAUCGAUAAACUACAAUUAAAAUUAAAAAAAAAAUCAAAUUAAAUAGUCACGUAUCUCUUCUCUCUUUAAUUUCUAUGAUUUGCGAAUGAACACUACCAUAAAGUAAGGUCACUUCCAAAUCGAUAUAAAUUAGAAAUAAAAAUUAUAAAUCAAUCCCAAAAAAAUCAAAUAUUAUUUUAUAUAUUUAGAUCAUCUGUAAUGAAAACCACACAGAUCGGAUGAGAUUUCGAAUUAAACUUUUAAAAUUGAACUAAACCGUAUAUAUAUAUAUAUAUAUNNNNNNNNNNNNNNNNNNNNNNNNNNNNNNNNNNNNNNNNNNNNNNNNNNNNNNNNNNNNNNNNNNNNNNNNNNNNNNNNNNNNNNNNNNNNNNNNNNNNNNNNNNNNNNNNNNNNNNNNNNNNNNNNNNNNNNNNNNNNNNNNNNNNNNNNNNNNNNNNNNNNNNNNNNNNNNNNNNNNNNNNNNNNNNNNNNNNNNNNNNNNNNNNNNNNUAUAUAUAUAUAUAUAUUAAUACUUAUUUAUUUUUUUAAUAGUAUUAAGUAUUGAAUAAAUUUAUUAUUUGUUAGUUAUCAUUUUUAUUAAUAAUACUUAUUUGUUUAAUUUAACUUUGUUUUACUAUUUUAUACAUUUCAAACAUAAUGUAUCAUCGUUAUUCCAAAAUAUUAAUUCUUUGUAUACUAUACAUUAUAUUUUGUUUUAAACUUGUUAUUUUAACAUAACUUUAUAAUAAAAAUAUUCAAUCAAUAUUUUAUAAUUGUAAUUUGUAUAAUUGAAAAUCUAUCUAAUUUAAAUUGAUUAGUUCGAAAUGGAACAAUUUUUAAAAAAAAAAUCUUAUCCAAACUUUAUCAAAUCACAAAUAUUUUAUGUUUUAGAUUGGAUGAGUUUUUACCUCAUUGUAAUUAAUUAUAUAGAUGUAACUCAUAUACAUUAUCAAUAUAAAGAUUUUUUAUACUCUCAUUCAAUCAAAACUUUUAGAUCAUUGUAAAUGUUUGACUUUUAAGUUUUAUCAUAAUUUCUUCUAAAAUCAUGUUCUUAAAUAAUUAUGUUGUGGUGACAAUUUAAAACUUUUUAAAUUAAUAAUACACGAUAAUUAAUAUAUAUAUAUUAAAAGAAUGGAUGCAUCAAUAUUGUUAACUAAUAACGUGAGUUAAUAUAUAAUUCGAAUAUUUAUACAACCGAAUAUGACUCUACAGUCUCUCAAAAUAAAUUUUCCUCAAGAAAAAACUCCAAAUAAUUAAUUUAAAGGAUAUAUAGUCACUUGAAUUUUACCAAAAAAUAUAUUGUCCGUUGAUGUAAUUUCUUAGCUUGUACUAUUUCAUUGGCCCUUUUGAGACCUUUUAGCCAAUUUUUAUAUCAUUCCAUGUGUGACAAGUAUUAUUUGUUCUGGAGUGGCACCCAGAUAUGUCAAUUUGAUAAGUCCCCUAAUUAUUAGUUUCGGUGAUGGGUUAAACAAUUUUAUAAUUUAAAAGGUCUAAAAAAAAACCCUCAACACUAAAAGUCUCUUAAAAUUUUGUGGGUUUAGUGGGCUUAUAGGCCCACUUUUUCAAAAGAAAAUAUCUAUUUUUUUUAAAGAAUUUUGACAAUUUUUUUUUUGAAAUUUUCUUUUAUUUGAGAAAAAAAAUUGAUUUUUUUAUUUUUAUUUUUCUCACAAAUUAUCUUGAGAAAAAAAAAAGUAAUUUAAAUUUUUUUAAUCUUUUUUGAUAUUUUUUAGAAAAAAAUUUUCAAAAAAAGAAAAUUUUAAAAUUAAAAAAAUAUUAGGAGCCGAUAAACCCCUUUCCUCCCCAUGAAAUAAUAGAUUGAUGCUUUAAAAAAAUUAUUUUGAUAGAAAACUUAAUAUUAAGGACUUAAUAAAAAAACAAAAUUAAAGAGAACCUUCGAGAGUUGGAAUUAGAGGUUUUUUGUCAGUGGCACAUACGAAUGGAUAAUCAAUUCAUUAAUUAUGAAUUGGCGUCCGAAGAUUUCACGGGAAUAGGAGAGAUGCAAACAAGAUUGGUUAAUUAGAUUGAUACGAAAACCCUAGAAAUAAUCUUGAGUUUUAAUUUUGGGAUAAUUGAUAUUAGCUAAUGGCUAAUCGAUUAGGUAAUAAUCAGAAACUUAAAAUAAUUAGUAGACGACAAGUAAUGGUUAGGGGACUUAUAUGAGGUUGAUUAGUAAUUUAAUAGUUAAGGGUGGAUAAUUAAUUAAUUAUAGGUACUUCACUAAUAAGGAUUAGAUCAUUAACGAUGAUAAGUAUGAUGUAAUUUUAUGUGUUGAAAGUGUUUGAGAUGAUGAUUAUUGAGAUUAUUUAUCUGUAUGAUGUUUGUGUUUUUGAUGAUGAUGAGGAUGAUGAAUAUCAUAGGAGUGUAUUUAGUUGCAAAUAAAGAUUAAGUUAUGUUAAAUAUUAAAUUUUGUUGAAUGAUAAUCAUUUCUUCUGCAUGUGUUUGUUGUAUUAUAAUUAGGGUAUGUAGGAGUUGUGUAAUGAUAAAAUCAAAGUAGAAGAUUGAGGAUAUCUUUAGGGUAUUAUUGGUAAAAAAGACUUACCUAAAGACGAGAAAUAUGUAGAUGACAUUCUCCUCUUGAAUAUGGAAUUACUCUUUUGUUAAUAAUGGGAAAAAAAAUGAAAAAAAGCGAAUUGAUGACUAGAACUAUGGUAGCUCGUAAAAAAGAUAGAGUUAAUUUACUCUUCUAUUGAAUUCUAUUUUAAAUCUAAAUUCAAAUGAAAUUAAUUCGAAUUGAAUUUUUAUUUUUUAAAAAAAUACGAUUAUAUCCAAUUGAGGUUGUUACGUUGAAAGAAAAAAAAAUAAUAGAUGAAGAAGAAUUAUUUUUUUAUUCGGCAUAGUGGUUUAUUUAUUUUGAUAAUUUUAUCAUAUGAAUUCUAUUCUACCACUUUUCGGAGUUCAGUCUCCGGAAAAUUUUAAUUUUUUUAUGAUAUAGUUAGACAAUCAUAAAAAGACAAUUCUCUUUUAAUAUAGUUAUUUGUACAACUAUUUUAUGAUUAAAAAGCAAACUAGGUUUUUCUAUAUUCAUAGUAAGUGGUUUUUCUAUCAGUAUUAAUUCAAAAUUUGUUGAAUCCAUGAGUUGAAGUUAAUUUAUCAUAAGUAUGCAUAUCCUUCUAAAUGUCGAUUGCAUUAAAAAUGGAGAAUCGUUGCAGUUGUCUAAAACCACUACAUUUUAGUGUAUAAUAUGUCAAAUUUUAGAACGGACCUAGUAAUAUUAUGCAAGUUAUAGAAAUUUUGAACUGAUAGUAUCGACAAUAUUUUUUUUAUUCCAAAUCACAUAGGUGUCUUCACUUUCCAUCUUCUAUUUAUUGGGUUCCAAACCAUUAAUUCCCUCGAGCAUCAUAGAAGGGGAACCGAGAACAGUAAACGACACUGCAACGACGGAGUUCGUGAUCUAUGUAAAGAAAAUCUUAAAGAUAGAUUUAUAGAUUAUAGAUUUAUGUCCAACCAUUCAUACAUCUAGAAAAUAGCACAUAGUGCAAAAACAAGUAGUAAAGAAAAUCAAGGUGUUACAUAUCUUCCCUUUUACAAAGAAAUACCAUACCAUCCCCAAAAUUGAACGAACCUGGAAAAAAAAAAUACAAAAUACUCAUCUUAUCUUUCAAUAUUCACAUAACACUUUCAAUUGAUGGUCCUCCCCAAAUCACUUUUACUAAGCGAUUUUGUUUCCUUCUAUAGGCCUACUUGUCUUUGUCCUUAACUCUUAAAUUAUUAAGAGAACAAAGAAAAAUAAAUUAUAUAUUUUUUUAAAUCAAAAUAAUUAGCCAGUCAAAGAAUUAUUAAGUGACAUUUGUCGCAAUAAAAUAAUUUUACAGUUACAGUAAAUAUGUGUAUUUUAAUAAAUAAAAUUUAUUUUAACAUUAAAAUCAAUACAAUUAAUUUUUUUUAAAUAAUGUACAAUUUAAAAUUAACACAUAAAUAAGAUGGAUGGAAUAUGCAAUACGACAAGCAUUUAUAACAAGAAACAUGUAAACAAAAUAAACGUUUAUUAAUAUAUUAAUUAUUUCAAUUACAAUUAAAAAAAUUAUUUAUUGACUAUCAGAAAAAAAGACGAAAAUGUCACUAUUGUGGCUUAAUUGCAAUAGAACUCCUAACAUGAUGUUUGCCGUCAGUCCAAUCUAACAUCCCAAAUACAUAAUCAUUCGUAAGCUUAUUUAGAGGCCUCAAACUCAAAGUUACACGGAACUCUUUCUUUUCACCCUUGUUCUUAAAGUUUAGUAUCUUAGGCUCAACUGAGACUAAAAAUUCGGGAGGUGCUUCAAUGUGAACUCUAUAUAUGCUUGGGGCACCAACAUUGGUAAGAGUGCGUGUAACAUUAAGAGAACUUCCAGUCUUCAAGUCGGGAAUUGUGAUUGUAGGAUAAUUGAAAUCUACUAAACUGAAAGAUUCUGGACAAGUGUAAGGCUUGCCGUAGAAUAUGCUAAGACGAUCACCUUCGUACCCAUGAUUGCACAAAUAGUUCAUAUAGUCUGUAACAUUUAGGUCGUAAACAAGUCCAGGAUCCGCAGCACGAUUAGGUCGAAUUUGCCCUGCACCAUAUGCAAAUGGAGUUGCACUUUCUAGUGAUGAAUCCAUCAGUUGCUUUCCAGUAUUGCCUGUUAUUGUUGCUGCAAAAUAUACAAAUUUGUUUUUGUAUUUGUAUUUGAAUUGUAUAACAAAUUGGAGUCCAAAAUCAUAUACAUGUUAUAGAUGGAUUAUAUAAGUAAACAAUUUAUUUUACCUGUGGUCAUUAUUGCAGACUUAAUUGCAGCUGGACUCCAAUCAGGAUGAAGAGAUUUGAGUAAUCCAACAACGCCGGAAACAUGAGGACAAGACAUUGAAGUCCCUGACAUAGUAAUGAAAGAAGUUUUUCGUUUAUCAGAUGGUAGGUCCGAGGGAGAUUGAACUUCACUAUAAGCAGCAAUUAUGUCCACUCCAGGUGCUAUGAUGUCAGGCUGAAACACAUAAAGCCAAAAAUUACCAUACAAUUCAUAGAAUAACUCAAAUUCAUAUAUAAAAUAAGUCUAUUGGUGUUUGAUAAUCAUAAAAAAACCAAUAAACCUUGAGGAUUGUUGGAUCAACGAUAUUUGGCCCUCUUGAUGAAAACGAUGCCAUAACUGGAGCUGGCUUUACACCUAAUUCUGUUUCAACUCUAGAAAUAGAAGCAAUGGGAGACCUGCAUCGUAUAUGCACAUAAAAAGAAAAUGUUUUGUAUGAAUAAUCCAAAAUUUGUGAUAGUAAAAAUAUGGAGACUAUAUGAAGCCUAUAUAGUAAAUGAAGAAAACAUUUACUUGGUUUGGUUAAUGUAAUUAAAAAUGUAUCUGCCAUCCUUAAAGUUAACAUGUGAAGCAGGAAGCACGUGAGGAUCAGCUAAAACGCUAUUAUCUGAUUCUUCGGCACUAGUCAAAAUCAUUCCAACACCACCUGCACGAGCAACUUGCUCACCCUUAUCAGUUCUACCAGUUUCACCUCGAAGGCAUACCACUAUCUUUCCUUUAACCUUUUCUGGAUCCAGAGAUCCACCCUUGCAAACAAGUCUACAACAAUUAUAUAGAUUUUAUAAGACAAAAUACAAUUAAAGUUCAAACAAACAGCUUUGGUUGAAAAGUAUUCUUACGCAUCAAGUAAAAAUGCACCAUCAGCUUUGGCUUGAGAUGAACUAAUCAAUGGAUAAAACUUUUUAGGUGGCAAGUAGGACUCUGAAAGGCUAACUCCCUAACAAACAAAAUCAAUUUUACUGUUAUCUAAUGAUUAAUUAAUUUCAAAAUAUUUCAUACACCAAAAGCAAAGUUUGGUAAAUAAUAAUAUACCUUGAGAACUUUGUUGUCACCAAGAGUAACAUAAUUAGUGAAAGCUCUAUCAAUUGUGCUUGCACCAACAGUGAGCACCCAAGGUUCCAAAUUUGAAACACUUGAGGGAGCAGGUCCUGAAUUUCCUGCAGAACUGACAACAACGAUGCCCUUGGCAAUAGCAUGGAAAGACCCCGUAGAAAUACUGCUUUGAAAAUAUUCACCAGGCGCACCACCCAAAGACACCGAAAUGACAUCAACACCAUCACUUAUGGCAGCUUCAAAACCAGCCAAAAUGUCUGCUUCAUAACAUCCACCGGCUCCCUCCACUUUUGGCCAACAAACUUUAUAGGUUGCAACACGUGCUUUUGGAGAUCCACCACUUGCUGUUCCGUUACCAUAACCAAAUACAUUUACUCCAUUAACAGCAUUACCUCCAGCUGUUGAUAAUGUAUGUGAACCAUGACCUUCAACAUCACGUGCACUAUUGAAUGAUACAUUUCCUAUGUCACCAAGAGCUGCCAAAUACCCUUUGUAAAAAUAUCUUGCUCCAAUCAGCUUCCUAUAUAUAUAUAUAUAUCAUUUAGAUGUCAAAAAGUUCAUUCAAUUUUUUGUUUUUUUAUCUUUAACAAAUACUAGUAAUAUAAGACGGGUAACCUGUUGCAAUGAAAGUUAUCCGUAUUAUUUUCGUCAACAACACAUUCUCCACGCCAUCUUGUUGGAACUGGACCCAUCCCUUCAUCACUAAAGCUCUUUGAUUCAGGCCAUACACCUAUCAACAAUCAUAUAAUAAUCCAUAAUACUUUUAUUGGAUACUAAUUACCAUCAAAUAAAGCAAUGUAUAAAAAUUAAAAAAUGCAUAGAUUCAAAACAAUAAUUUUAAAUUAUGAUUACUAUAAUGUAGAUUUUUAAAAUUUAUUUUAUAACCACAAUUACAGCAAUUUAAAAUCAUGUUCAAAACCAUAGUUAGGGAAACAAACAAAAAAUGGGAUUGACUCGGGUAUAAAUACUAUCACUAUAUGUUUUAUUAUACUUCAAUUUUAUUUUAUUUUAAUCUCAAAUUCAAUUGCAUACAAUUUUUAUUUGUUUCACACUUUCAGUCAUCUCUAUUAAUAAUUUUAUGGAUGUCAACUAAUAGAAGACGAAUGACAAUGAUAACCUUUUUACAAAUAUACAUCAUGAAUUGGUGAGUGAAAAACAUAGUAUUAAAUAAUUGAGUUUGUCUACGGAAAAAAUAACAAGUUGUCUGUGGAAAAAAAUUAAAAUAUCUAUCAUCAAAUGGUUCAAACAUGUCUCAUAAGGCAAUUGCAUUUAAAAGCAUAAAUAAAUAAAAAUGAACCAAUAAUUACCGGUGUCUAAAUUCCCAAUAAUGAUAUCUUCACCCUGUGACUUGCUCCAUAUUGAGUCGUUUGGAAUAGCAUCAUUUCUCUCUAUUAAUCCAAGGAAAUCCCAUGAAUGAGUUGUGUGCAGUUCUCGUGGUUUGUUCAAGAAAAUUGAUACCACAUUUGGAUUCUCUACACCAAUAAUUAAUACAAAAGGGUUAAUUAAAAUUACUAUAUGAUGCAUUAUUUACAUGCAUUUGGCAUAAAUGAAGAGAAAAAAAAUGAAAUUUAUAAAGUACAUACUUGCAACCAUUGCAGCUUGAUCUUCAUCAAGCACUGCGGCAAAGCCAUUAAAAUAUUUACUAUAAGAGUAGAAGACUGCUUCUUUGGCCUUCUCAGCGCUGUUUAAUAAAAAUAAUAAUUCAAUUACGUUUUUUUAAUCAGCUAAAAAAAUAAUUCAAUUAAUAAUUAGUUUAUAUUAAUUGAUUUUGCUACCAACGAAUUUCAUGGACAUGGGGGUUAAAUUAUUUACCUUCCAACGUAUGAGCUAAGCAAAUCAUAGUGAGAAUUUGCGACAGCUUCAACAUCAAGAGCUGAAGUACUUGGACUAGAUUGUGGUCCUAAGUAUACAAUGUAUGACUAACAAAAAAAUAUAUAUAUAUAACAUGAUUAAUUAUUUCAAACAUACGUAAAUUAAAAAUAAAAACUUCAACAAAUGACUUGAUGAUGACUAUAAUGGCUAAUAACCAGUUAAUGGAUUCCUAUAUGAUGUUACAAAGUUCUGUAACAAUUUUUAAUAUUUUUUUUUUACUCAAUAAUUUUUAAUGUUAUAAACUUUACAAAACAUGUUACAAAAUUAACCUGUUUGAUUGCUUGUGUUUGUUUCUGAAGCAGAAAGCAAACCAGAAGUAAAAAUAACGCACGACCAAUUGAUAAAGACAUUGGUUUUUCCAUAAGCAAUUUUUGUAUUAGAAAUGAGGUUAAGAGAAGAUAUGUAAAAGUUGUAUGCAAUCCCCUACUUAUAUAACUUUUUAGUGACUUCUUGUAAAACCGAAUCCAUCCCCCCUGUUCAUAACGAUUCAGAAUAUAAUUUACUUUUUAGUUUGACUUUCUUAAGACCACUUUAAUAAUUUUUAGUUUGACUUUCUUAAAACCACUUUAAUAAUUUUUAGUUUAAUUCUAAUUUUGGUAUCUAUUUUAUUAACCUAAUAAUUAAUCUCUCUUUUAAACUCUCACAACUUUGAUCCCUUUUUUAAAUUUUUUAAUUAAAAAAUAGUUAUUUUUUAUAUUUUAAAUAAUGUGACACACUAUCUCGUAAUGUAUAAUUAUAUAGAUUGACUAAUAAUCUAUGUUAUUAAUUAAAUUACAAAAAUAAAUAAUUUAAAAAAUUGAAAUUGAACUUUUUUAUAUGUUUUAUUGUAAUUUAAUAGAUAUUAAUCAUUCAAUAUAAUUAUAUCUUAUGUCACAUUAUUUAAAAUAUAUUAUAUCAUAAUUUUUUAAUUAAAAAAUUAAAGAAAAUGACCAAAACUAUUUGAUUUUAAAAUAAUAAAACUAAUUUUUCAAAUUUGAUUUAAAAUAAAAGAACUAAAAUUAUAAUUAAGCUAGAGAGAAAAAGUAAUAUAAACCCGUAUAAAAGAUUGAUGUAUUUAGACACAUCAUAUAACUUUCCAUCUAAGAGAUUGUAAAUUGAAUAACUCAUAUCGGAUGUGGAAGUAAACUAUUUUACAUACAAAAUGUAUAUCCAUUAAAUUCAUCUCUUAAAAUAAAAAAUUUCAAUUUAUUUUCUUUGCAUUACAAGUUUCUGAAGAAAAAGUCAAACAGAUAAUUUUUACUUUCCUUUAAUAAAAUUUAUUUUUUGUGACAUUUUUUAUUUUUCAAAAGUAAUUUUAAAAAACAAAAAAGAGUAAAGAAAAUUUUUUUUAACAAAAGAAAAUUAAUUAAUUUUUAUCAUGACUUUUUGACUUUUUGACUUUUUGACUUUUUCUUAGAAAUUUUAAAGCAAAAAAUUUUAAUUUGAACAAAAAAUAAUUUUUUAAGGAAAGUUUUAAAGAAAAUUAAAGAUAUUUUUUAAAAAUUGUUUCUUUAACUUUCAAAAAUAGUUAAAUUACUAUUAAGUAAUUUAAAUUAUAUGUUACAUAAUUUCUUUUGACCCAUUUUUUCCCUCAAAAAUACAAAUUUUCAAAUUGUAAUUUUUUUUUUCCAUAAGUAAAAAAAACUGAGAGAAAAAGUUAGAUACCAAAUAUUUUGAUAGGUAGAAAAAAAAAUCUACACAGUUUUACAUAUAAAUAUUUUGUGCGAAUUUCUAUAGCAUACAAAAAAAAUUAUAUAGCAAAUAUUUUAUUUUGAAAUUUUUGAUACAUCAAGAAAGUACGAACUUUAAUAGAAAAAAUAUUUAUAGUAAAUAUUUUAUUUUUGAAAUUUUUAAUAAGUAAAACAAGUUAAAAAAAAAUUAGGCUUAAUUGCAGUUUUGGUCCUCCUAUUUUAGCUGAAUCGCGAAAGUAGUCUCCCCAUUUUGUUUCUCCUCAGUUUUGGUCCCCAAACAAAAUUUUGGUCUAAAAUUUGAUUAAAUUUUAUCUUUUAAAGCCGUACUACACCAUUUAUGAUCAUAUAUUUCAGAUACAAUUGUUGCAAAUGAGAUCUUGAGGCAUUGUGUGACUUAAAUAAAUGCAAAAAAAUUGAAAUUUUAUCAAGUUUUGGAUCAAAAUUAUGUUUGAGGGACCAAAACUGGGGAGAAAUAAAAUGGAGGGACUACUUUCGCGAUUCAGCUAAAAUAAGGGGACCAAAACUGCAAUUAAGCCAAAAAUUUACAUUUCAAAUAUUUCAUGUUUUCAAACUUCAAGUAAACAAAAAAAAAAAACUGAAAAUUUUUUAACAUAUCAAAUAUUUUAUUUUUUAAUUUUAUUAAAAAAAUUAAUUAUAGUUUAAGUCCCCUUAUUUUUACCAAUUUACAAAAUCAAUCCUCAUAUUUUAAAAUAUAACAGUUUUGGUUUCUUAUUGUGACUUUUUAAUUAAAAAAUAAAGAUGUAACGCGUUUUAAAUAAUGUGACACAUGUUACGAUAAUGUAAAAUAAUUAAUACAUAUGAAAUUAAAAUAAAAAUCUUUCAAAAACUUAACUUUCAACUUGAUAAAUUUUUCAUAUUUCUAAUUUAAUUAAUGACAUAUAAAUAAUUAAUGUAUCUAUACGAUUUUACAUCAUAAAAUUGUAUGUUACGUCAUUUAAAAUAUGUCAAAUGGUCACAUUUUUAGUACAAAAAUUUGAGUGAGGAACCAAAUUAUCGACUUUUAAAAUAGAAAAAUUUAUUAUGUAAAUUGUUAAAAAUAGAAAGAUCAAAACCAUAAUUAAAUCAAUAUGAAGGUAAAAAAUUAUAUAGUGGGACAAUGGAUGUGAUCAUGAGACCAAGAGUUAAAAAAUUGUUUUACUUUCGUAAUUGACUUGAUCUGUUGUCUCUGUAAUAAUCUUCUGGGUUUAAAUAUGUUUUUAGUUUUUAUAAAAAAUUUACCAUUCAAUUUUAAUUUAUGUAAAAUAAAAAUACAUUUUUUUCCAUACAAAAUUAGUUAGCAAUUACUUUUAAUCUCUGCUAAAAUAAAACAUGUUUAAUUGUUCUUCAAUUUUAAAAAUAUAAAUUUUUUAAGUUGCUAAAAUAUCAAGAUAAAAGCAAUGAAAAUAUGGAUUAGAAAUUAAAUUUUGAACUCAUUUUUUGUGGAUGAAUUUUUUAUAAUAUCAUAAACAUACAUUAAAAAAUACAUAUAUCACUUUAAUAAUACUGGCUAAAACUGCAUAUAUGAUAAUUUUAUAGAGAUUAAAAAUUAUAUUUUUAUUUUAUAAAAAUUACAAUUGAAAUGUUAAAAUUUUAUAAGAGAUAUUUAAUUUUAUUCUCCAACAACUUCAUAUUGCUUCUUUUCCAUAAACUCCAUAAUACUUGCUGCAUAUAUAUACCCUAUUUUACUGGUUACACCCCCUUAUAGAAAUAAAAUGAUCAAAUUAUUCUUUAAGCAAACUCAAAUUUACUCAUUUUAACAAAAAAACCUUCUCUAAUUAUCUCAUUUUCAUCAUUUCUUUCACCUUCUCCUUUCUUCUUCCUCGGGAUUUUGCAUAUCAUAUGUAUUAUAUCAUAUGUAUUGGCGAUCUGUUUUUCUGAUUUUAAAAGUAUUUGUACAUAGUUGUUAGAGACGUACGCAUAGUCAAUUAAUUUGUGUAACUUUAUGUGAAUUGAAUUCUUGUAAAUUUUAAAAUAUUAUGUUGAAAAUCUAAAUUAAAAUUACUUACGUGAGCUAAAUUUACAUAUAUGCGUAAAUUUAGUUUGCAUAUGCUAUUUGAUUUCAAUUUACGUAUAUUGUAAAAAAAACAGAGAGAAAAACUUAUAUGAAUUAGUUUCAUGUACGUUUAUAUAGUUUCAGUUCGUGUAUGUUUACGCAAUUUUAAUUUGCGUAUAUUUAUAUAUUACUAGUUUCAAAUUAUUUACUUAUUUAUGCAAACUAAAAUUAUUGCUACGUCAACUUAGUUCGUGUAUCUUUAUAUGAAGAAUGUUUGUGUACCAUUUAUACAUUUUUAUAUUAGUCACUGUACAUGAAUUAAAAUUGUAUACGUUUGUAAAUUUUAAUAUUAUUAAAAUAUAUUAACAUAAAUAAAUAGAAAUUUAAAAUGUUGGAAUGUUCGGGAGACAAAUAAUAUAUCUUGUGGGAAACAUCUUUUGCAAGUUCUUCAAUUUUCUAUCUAAUUGUUUUUUUUCUUCAGAUCUUUUGUAUAAGAUAUGAGAUGAGAGGUGAAUGAUGAAAUAAAAAUAGAAAUAAGGGUUUUAAAAUUAUGAAUUCUUGAAUGAUGAAGUAAGUAGUAAAAGCGACUCCACAAAAUCAUGGAAAAAUUAGAAAUAUACUCAUUUUUUUAAUAAGCAUGCUCCUUUCUUAAUCUUCUAAAAAACCUGAAAAAAGAACUCAACAAAAUCAUUAUUUUUCCCCACAUGUGCUCAGCAAUGUUCCACACGGAGGUUUUCCUUCAACAAAACUCGCAAGUUGAGCAUGAAAAGAAAACAUGCCAACUACUUUCAUUUUCAGCAAACACAAGGACUAAAAGUAAUAAUAGAUAUAUUGCAGACCAAAAAUACAUUUAAAUAUAUAUUGUAUAAAUACAUUUAGUAAUAUUUUGCAUAAAAAUUUGAGGGUUCAAUUUUUUUUUAUGUUAUUGAAAGAAGAUAAAUGUAAUAUUUUUUUUUUAAAAUAUUUAAUAAACUUUAAAAUAUUUCUUACUUUGAUAUGUGAUACUAUCGUUUAACCUUAAAUUUAUUUUAGCAAAAAAAACUAUUUCCUUGAUUAAGAAUGAAAUGAUAUAAUAUAUAUUUUCCUUAAAAAACAGAUUAAAUAUACAUUAAAUUUUCUUAAAUUUAUUAAUUUACGGUUUUGGUCAUUUCAUUUCUAAAAUUUAAAUUGAUAUUCUCAAAUUUAAAAUUUCCAAAAAAAGUACACCACUAAAUUUAAAACUUAUUUUCAUUGAGUCGAAUUGGAUAAUUAGCUCACAAUAGGGGUGAUUGUACAAUGAUUAAAUGAAUCAACUCUUAUUAUUUUAUUUUAUAUAUUAUUAAAGUAUUUUUAAAAUAAAAUAAAAAUGUGAAAGUCUAGAAGUGAAAUUUUAAAAUAAAUUUUCACAUCUUGAUUUAUCGUCUUUUUAUUGAACGAACAUACCACCAUAUCACAAAAAAUAAAUCUAAAUUAUAGCUGCGAGACAUUUAAAAAAAAAUCGAAGAUCAUAAGAAUAAGAAAUUUUGAAUAAUAAUAGUAAAAAAUGUUAAAUAUAUUUUUUAUUUUAUAAUAAAAAAAAUUACUCUUAAUCUUUGUAAUACUUUUUAUCAAUAAUUUUAGUUAUUAUUGUUAAGUCAACAGUAUGUUUACUCAAACAAAUCUAAAAAAUAUUGUAAGCAUAAAAAAUAUUAAAAUCUAAAAAACCAGCUCAUAAAAAAAUAAAUUUUAAUAAUGCAUAGAAGAUAUAUUUUUGCACUUUGCCGUGUUCGCGUGAAAAGCCGGUUGUUUUUGGGAACUCAAAAUUCUAGUUUCCUCUUCCCACCUCAAAAAUAAAACCAAAAAACUUUAUCUCCCUCUUCAUUCAUUAUUACUAUGAUUUAGUGAACAAUACACAGUGGAAUAUAAUUCUUUGUAUUUAUUUAACCAUAUGAAUUAAUAAACCCACAGAUCCCAACCUCUGUUGAGUUCAAAAAAAUGAAACAAAAGUGCAACAUGAUUAUUACUCUUGCAGUAGCAGCCUUAUCAUGUUUUCUCAACUCAAACAUCGUUUUGGUGUUUGCUCAUGUUAAUGGAUUUGGUGAACAACCACUCUCCAAAAUUGCCAUUCAUAAAACCGUUUUUUCACUCCACAGUAACGCCUCAGUUACAGCUAUUCCUUCUCUUCUUGGCACUAAGGUAAACAUAACAUGUUUCUUAAACUUACUCAAAAUUCCAGCCGUUGACUUCCGUUGAUUUUUAAGUUGACUCAUAGUGUGAUUUUAUUAUUGUUAUUUUAGGGUGAAGAUACACAGUGGGUUACUCUUGAUAUUGAUUUUCCUGAUCCAUCUGUAGAUGAUUGGGUUGGAGUUUUCUCUCCUGCAAACUUCAAGUAAUUAAUGCAUAUCUAUCCCUCUUAAGUUGUGUUAUUUUGACAUCAAAUUUCAACCACAAAUUAUAUGGUUCACACAAUUUAAAUAUGUUGUUAAUCGUGUUCAGCUGAGGAUUAAUGAAUAUAACUAGGUGUAGCGACUCAUUAAUCAUCCACGAAAUACAGUUAACCACGUUUUUGAGUGUCAUUAACCACAAUUUAAUAUGUUUUAUAACACUUUGUUAUAUUCAUGAAUCAUUCACCGUACAUAAUUAGCUACAUAUUUGAACUGCAUGUAAUUUGUUGUCGAAAUUUGAUGUCAAAUUAACAUUUCUCUUCUCUCUUUUAUUACGAUAGAGUUCUAUUGAAUUUUGUACAGUUGUAAAACCUGCACAUAUAAUUACUGAUAAAAGAACUAAAUGAGAAUGUUAUAUAUUUUUUUAAAUGGCAGUUCAUCAACUUGUCCCCCUUUAAACGAUCCAAAAGAGCAGAUUCCAUUCAUAUGCUCGGCCCCAAUAAAGGUUUGUGUCGUAAAUCAAUCAAUGUAUAGGUUUGAUUAGUUUUCUAAUUUGUGUAUUACUCAUGUAGUUCAUUUGAAUCUUUGUAUCAGUACAAGUUUGUGAAUUACUCAAACUCGCAUUAUACCAAGACAGGAAAAGCUUCUUUGAGUUUCCAGUUGAUCAAUCAACGUGCGGAUUUCUCAUUUGCGCUAUUUUCAGGCGGACUAUCAAAUGUGUGUCUGGGACUCUUUCAGCUUUUCAUAUAUUUGUUAUUUCUUUCUCAAUAUGUACUUAAACCAGUGUUCAGAAUGUGUAUAUGAUGAUAUUGUUUGCUAACUAUUAAUCAUUUGACUAAGCAUUGCAGCCUAAACUUGUGGCAGUUUCCAAUUUCAUAUCAUUUGCCAAUCCUAAAGUGCCUUUAUAUCCUCGGCUAGCUCAAGGGAAGUCUUGGGAUGAAGUAAGUUCAUUUUCAUACUUUGAGGUCCUUGAUAUUAUGCUCACCAAAAUAAUACUAUUCAUUACUGUGAUCCACAGGUCCUUUAUAUGAAACAUCAAAUUAAAAUUAACAAGUUUCCCAAGACAUGCAAUCUAUAGGGUUAAUAAAUUUGAGCACACACCCACUGAUAAUGAUAGAUUUCUAUAAGAGUGUAAUUGGACUUUCUAAAUUUGACCUGAUACUAUAGGAAUAAUAAUUGAUGUCAUUGGAACCACUAUGUCUAUUAGAGCUAUGCAAGUGAUUUCAGGAAUUGUUGUUAUUGUCUUGUGCAGAUGACAGUUACAUGGACAAGUGGAUAUGACAUAAAUGAAGCAACGCCGUUUGUUGAAUGGGGUGCUGACGGAAAAAUGCCCGUGCAAUCGCCUGCUGGAACAUUGACAUUUGGUCGUAACAGCAUGUGUGGUAUGGUUUAUUUGAUCUUCUUAGCACGGCAUCAUAUUGGAUUAUUAUUGCAUACAUAGUUUAAUCCAGUUAGUAUUUAAUCUGCUUGGUAUUUUUAUUGCAUCACAUGGUCAAUUGAAUUUCUGCUUGACAUUUUGCAAUUGUUUGAACCUGAUAAGAGUCAUCAUGAACCUGCAAUUUUUGUAUCAUCCCGAAAAAUAGAUCUCUUUCUCUUUCAAUGGGAACUUAGAAUGGACUCUUUUGUAGCUAUACUGCAUAAUUUAGUUAUUUAUCUUCUCCCACCUGCAGGUUCACCUGCACGAACUGUUGGUUGGCGUGACCCUGGUUUCAUACACACAAGUUUUCUCAAAAAUCUGUGGCCAAAUUUAGUGUAUGCAUUCUGAAAUCUAUUUAUGUAUAUAGCACAAUGUGAAACUGGCAUAGUAUGUUCUAUAGUUUUCUUCAAUAUAUUUUUCAGGUAUACAUACCGAUUAGGUCAUAUUUUGUCUAAUGGUUCGUACAUUUGGAGCAAGAAAUAUUCAUUCAAGUCAUCGCCUUAUCCCGGACAGGACUCACUUCAACGUGUUGUCAUAUUUGGGGACAUGGGGAAGGUAAUAUUAAUCUUUUCGAAAUACAAUCUAUGUACAGAGAAGAUUGUCUCAAACUGUCUUUGGAAGAAAGAAACUAGUAUGCUACCAAGUGCAAUCUUUAGGCAUAUUUAUGAUUGGGCGAAAUAAGGAUCUUUAGCACUGAAUAUCUCUUCAACAGUGUUGUUAAAUAGCGGCACUAUGACGUUAUUGCAUAGCGGAGUUUGAACAAACCGCUAAUGUUCUGCAAUAUGCUAUUUAAUAGAAAAUUUGUCAAAUAGCGGCUAUAGCAUUGCUGUGUGGUGGAAUUUGAAUGUUACUCUAUUUCUCACGAUCCACAAUUGACAACAAUGCUCUUCAAUGUGUUUCAGGCUGAGCGUGAUGGUUCAAAUGAGUAUAGUAACUACCAACCUGGGUCACUUAACACCACUGAUCAGCUUAUCAAGGAUUUAGAAAAUAUAGACAUUGUUUUCCACAUAGGAGAUAUAUCAUAUGCAAAUGGAUACAUCUCACAGUGGGACCAAUUCACAGCUCAGGUGGAACCAGUUGCAUCAACAGUACCAUAUAUGAUUGCCAGGUUGAUUUUAUCGCCCAUACCUUGUAACAUUGGCAUGUGAAUUAGAUUGAUUUGUUAUUUGUAUAUUGAACAAUGAUUGCAAUCAUCCUGCAGUGGUAAUCAUGAACGUGAUUGGCCCAACACGGGAUCCUUUUAUGACACUACAGAUUCAGGCGGCGAGUGUGGAGUUUUGGCUGAGACCAUGUUCUAUGUUCCAGCUGAAAACAGAGCAAAAUUUUGGUAAAUUCAGUUUCAUGAAAGAUUCAAAUUUGUUAAUUUCUAUUCUGAACACAAAAGUGAAUCCAAUCACUCGUUAUAUUGAACUUUUCAAAUAGUUAUAUGAAUGAUCCUUCACAUAUCAAUAUAUUAUCAUUAAACUUGAUCAAAAUUAAUGUUUAAUAAUUUGAGUUAAUUUUUUUUUCUAUUAUGAAGAUGAUCAAAUUGAAUUGCUUUUAAACUCACUGAGUUAUGACAUAAUUAUGUUUUAGUAUUUUAACAUGAAUAAUUAAGUUACAUACAAAAAAUUGAGUUUAUGGUUUUAAUAAUAUAUAUCCAAGUUGUAAAAUGAACGAGAUUCUGAUUUUUCAGGUAUGCGACGGAUUAUGGCAUGUUUCGCUUCUGCAUAGCUGACACUGAGCAUGAUUGGCGAGAAGGAUCUGAACAGUACAAAUUCAUUGAGCAUUGUCUUGCAACAGUAGACAGACAAAAACAACCAUGGUUGAUCUUUGCUGCUCAUCGUGUGCUUGGAUAUUCCUCCGACUUUUGGUAUGGAUUGGAAGGGUCAUUUGAAGAGCCCAUGGGAAGGGAAAGUUUGCAGAGACUUUGGCAGAAAUACAAAGUAGAUAUUGCAUUUUAUGGCCAUGUCCAUAACUACGAAAGGACAUGCCCCAUUUAUCAAGUAAGGACAAUAGUCAAAUAUGCUAUUAUUUUAUUUAAAUUUGAACCAACUUGAAUUAUUGCUAAGCCCAUGUUUUAUUUUAUGGUGUGCUUUUCUUCCUUUUCGAAAUUGUUGAAGUUAUCUAUGGAUGGAUGGAUGCUCAUUCAUCUUGCAUAACUUAUAAUUCCUUUUGCUUCUUUAAUGAGUUUCUAUGAAGCACUGACACUUUAGAUUAAAAGCGUCUCGAGUGUUUGAUGCAUGUCAAUUUCUGAUACUGACACAACCCUUACAUGUGUAGUUACAUUCAACCACUUCCAGUUUUUUAAAUUAAUAUUAGUGUUGACGGGUCAGAGUUAGUGUUUGGUGUAAUGAUCAGUGCUUCAUAGGUGAGUUUUGAUUUUAAUUACAUAUGCUAAUGCUUAUUUUCGGAUGAACCAAAUACAUAUGCAGAAUCAAUGCGUGAAUACAGAAAAGUCCCAUUAUUCAGGCACUGUGAAUGGAACAAUUCAUGUUGUUGUUGGAGGGGCAGGAAGUCACUUGUCCAAUUUCAGCCAAGUGACUCCAAAGUGGAGUCUUUACAGAGAUUUUGACUUUGGGUUUGUCAAGUUGACAGCAUUCAACCAUUCAUCCCUCCUCUUUGAAUACAAGAAAAGUAGAGAUGGAAAGGUUUACGACUCUUUUACAGUUUCAAGAGAUUACAAAAAUGUUUUGGCCUGUGUACCUGAUGGUUGUGAAGCAACCACUUUAGCAUCUUGAACUCAGACAGAUAUUAUCUCUAUUUUUCGAAAGAAAUUGAAGACUUCGUUAGUAUGUUUCACAAGUGUAUUAAGACACGUUGCUAGAUUUUGGCAUACAUUAGGUCUUUAUUCACUUUAAAUUAUAGUAGUAAUAUAGACCUCUCAAUUUCUUUUGAGAAAUAAAGAGGAUGUCAAAAAGAAAUAGACAAGUGUAUUAUGACGCAUACUAUUGCCUACAAUUGGCAUCCAUUACACUCUAAAUUAUAGUGAGGUUCUUAGGAAAUACUUAUACCGAUUUGGAAACCUAAGUUUUAGCCUUUUAGCUAACCUAACCAAAUCAAACCUAUGAAAAGUUACGAUUAAUAAAACUUCCGAAAAGAGUGCGAGAUAUGAUUUUGGCCUGUUGCCAAAUAUGCAACCUUAUCCAUUAUCAAUUUCAUACCACUUUUUUUUUUAUCCUCAUGGAUUGGCAGUGGACCGACAGAUUUAGACUUUCCAAUGUUAUAUGGUUUUUUUAUUUUUAUUUUAUUCAUUUAUUUAUUUAUUUAUAGUUAUAUUGUCUGUGGAAUGUGAAGGAUGCUAGGUGACAUUACUACCUGUUCAAAAAAAAGUGACAUUAGCACAUUGCUAAGGCAAAACAGUUCGCGAAAAUGAAUUUUGAUCCAUGCAGGACCUCUGGAGACGCGGUGUACAGUUGUCGUGGGAUAUCUGUAAGUAUUGUGACGUCUAAGUCAGUAAUAAUUGGGGAUGUGUGAGGUAACGAAUAAUAUAUACUUCUUUCUAAAAAUUCAACAAUUUAUAUACGGACUCCUCAAAGAGUGAUAACGUAGCAACUAUUAUUAUGUUGUAAAGAAUUCAACAAAAAGCAAGUAAUGUUUGAUUAUUGUUGGGCGGCUGUGAUCAAUUGAGGGGAGGAGGGGGACGAAUUCGGCUCUGUGGCCUAAGUUUCGACACUCAACAUUUGGUCAAACCACUUAUUUUCGAUUUGGACUGAAUUAUGUCAUGAAAUACUUCAAAAAAAAAUUGUUUUUAAAUAUUUUUAAAAAUCAUAUUCUCAACACAAAAAAUUACAUUACCUUGUUUUUUUUUCAAAAACAUAAUAUAAUCUAUUUUUAUUAUUGUUUUAUUGUUUUAGUAUUAAAUAUAUACACAUACAAUAAAUAUCAAAAUUAUAAAUUUAAUCAUAAAAUACUAACAAACAUGAAAAACCCAAAAUUAUAGGGUCUAAAAUAACAUAAAAUGUUUGCAAACAUAGAAUAACCAAAGUGCAAAAUUCUAAAAUAACAACAACAAAAAAAGCCUAUCAAUGGAUCAAACCUUCUAAAAAUCUAAAAUUUAAAAAAGUAAAAAUUACAACAAAAAAUUGGGUUUGAUUUUACCCGAACCAAUUUUAAUUUUAUCCAAUACCCAAUUUAAGUGCCUAUUAUUUUUGUUUUGAAAACCAAGAUCAUCAAUCACUUAACCAAAACUGUUUUUUAGAUCGGUUCUGAUCGAUUUUAUCGACUAGGUCGAUUUUACUCAAUUUAUAAAUACUCUACUUAUUCAAUGGUGUUUUUUCUCUUACCUUUAAUAUUUGCAAAUAUACAAAAAUAUAUGUCUCAAUUCAUUAAUUCAAAAUAUAAAAUACACUUUAAAAUUACCUAAUUCGAUAAAAAAAAAUUUAAAAUGCUUUGGAGUAGAACAAGAAAGAAAAAAAAUUGUUGAAUUGAGCUAAAAUCCAAUAGGAUUUUCCGAUGUACUUAGUCCGGAAAAUAUUAUGUAUAAGAACUCUGACAAUUCCUAGAAUAUUAACUUAGAAACUAUAUAGUAUAAGAUAUCAAUAUUACUUGAAAUAUUUACUAAUAAAGUAUAUAUAAGAUCACAAUUUUAUAUAUUUUCCACUAAUUGUUAUUAUUUUUAUAUCUAAGAUCCCAAUACUUAUAUUUUCCAACAUGGCCCUUUGCAUAUAUUUUACUUUAUUUUCUUUACAUAUAUUGUAUAUUACCUAAUGUGAAUAGUAAUAGUAGUAGCUCCUAGUACUAUAUAGCCAACAGCCAUGAAGUCACCUCAAGAAUGGGAAAAUGGAUCUCAUCUGUACCAUGUGAUUCAAAUCUCAUUAGUCGUGAAUGAGUGAUGCCAUGUGCCCCGGAAUUCUUCAAAUGGGAACGUGAUAAAUGUUUUCCUUUUUAUGAAAAUAUAUUUUCUCUAAUCAACCAGUUAUGAUUAUGACUUAUGAGCCAAAGACAAAUACUAGUACCAUAAUACUACUUUGAGAUUAUCACAGUUUUCUAUUUUUAUCAGUGAAUUAUUAAUUCUAAUUUGAACUAAAUAUAUUUUUAUUUCUUUUAAAAUUAUUAAUCUUUUAAUUUUAGUCUCUAAAAAAAGUAGUUAUUUUUAAUUUUUAUUUUUAUUUUAUAGAGACUUUUUGUAUAGAUUAAAAAUAUCAAUUUAUUAUAAAAGUUUUUCAAAAUAGAAAUUUAAAGUGGAAUAAUUUUUUUAGGAACUAUUAAUUUUAGAAUUCUUUUAUAAAAAUUGUAAAUAAAAUGUUGAAAUUUUACGGAGACUAAAAUUUAUUUAACCAUUUUAAUUUUUAUAUCAAAGUUUUAUGUUUGCAUAAUAAAAAACUUCAUCAAUUUUUAAUUUUUAAUUUGUUUACAACAGUUUUACAUUUUAUUUAUUGUAUAUAUUUUUAGUAUUAAACAUUGAUCCUUUAUUCAAUUCUCUAUACUUAUUUAUCUUUCAACAGUUUUGUUAUUGAUCAUUAUAAUUGAUUUUUCAUAGAUACUUUUUUGAAAAGGAUUUUUCAUAUUUUAUCAUGGAAAUUAUAUCUCUCAAAUUAUCUGUUUAUAAUAGAUUAAAAGAUUAAAUAAAUAAAAAUGUAAAGUUAAUGAUUAAGACAAUAUUAAUCAAAACUUAAUAUAUAGUACAACUAAAAAUUAUAUGAUUGAUUUUAAAUAUUUUCUUACAUUUGAUUAUUGUGGAAAAUACUUAAUAGAACAAUUUAUAUUUGAUCCUCAAGUCAUAGUUCAACUGACAAAUGUUGAAAUUGUUAGAUUGAACAUUAUAUUUUGAAAAACUCGAACUCAAAUUAAUAAUGGUUAUAUUUUCAUCUCUUUUAAUAUUACAGUUAUUGUUAAUUAAAUUUUUUACAAAAUUUCUUCUUCUUUUUUGGUACAGUUGUAUGACAAGAUUUCUAUUAAAAUUAUAUAGAUACGCAAAUUUUGAAAUUAAAAUAAUAUGUUUUCCAUUUAGUAUUUGGACCACCACUUCUUAGCUAGUGUGAAACAAUUUACUGGUUGAUCAUAAACAUCAAUAUAAAAUAGCAAAUGCGAAAUAUAAGAACGAGAGAUAAACCCUCCCCAACAAGUUGAUUGAUUAAUGAAAAGUUAAAAGAGAUCGAAUAGCCUUCAACUAUUUUUAGUGGUCAACUCUAUAUAAUAUAAUAAAUAUAACUAGUUUGUAAAUCUAUAAAUUGUUAUAUUAGUUUAUUUAUAUAUAUAUAUAUCAAAUUUCAUAAAUUUUAUUAACAUUAAAAAAAUAAAUUGACUUAAAAAAAUAAUUUACAAUAAAAAAAUUAAAAAAAAAUUAAUUAUAACUUAACUUAAAAACUACUUUCUUACGUGCUCAAUGUUAUUGAUGAAAAGUAUGACUCCAACCCCAUGCCUUAUUUUUGAAUUCUACAAAGAAUCUUUUUUCUUUCCAAAAAAUUUAUUAUAAAACAAUACUUUUAAUUUUAAACAAAUAAAAACAAUAAUUAUUAAAAAAAAAUUAAAUAAUUAGAUUAGAUGAAAUAAGAAUUUUUAAAAUAAUAGACAUGGACAUAUAUAAAAUAAGUAAAUUAGUAAAUGUAAAGAUGAGUAAGUAACUUAAUAAUGAAUUUUUAGUUUUAUUAUUCAACCUAUGUUAUUUAUAUGAAAUACAUGACAUUUAAGAAUUCAUAUAAAUUUGGCCGUAUCAAGUGGCAAAAUAUCUUUCAUUUUAGUACUACUCACAAAAUACUAAAAGAAAAAUAAAUUUCCGUUACAAACAAAAAAUUACAAUACACAUAAAAACUAUGAGUAUCUUUUAUCUUUGAAUUUGCAUGUUAGUCUUAAUUUGAAUUUGCGUGAUAUUUAAUAAUAAAUUUAGAAUAUAAAAUGUAUAGUAUAGUAGUUUUGUUUGAAGUUUGAAAAACCAUUACUUUCAAUGAAUAGAUGAAAUGAAUUGUUUCUUUAAUUCCUACAUAAAGUGCCAAUAUCAUUUAUUUAUUAGACAACUUACAAUCAAAAUUAUUAGGACGGGCAAUAGCUAUUUAAGAGAGAAUUUAAAAUCAAAAUACUUAGAACAAUUUAUACUUAAUCCUCAAGUCAUAGUUCAACUGACAAAUGUUGAUAUUGUUAGAUUGAAAAUUAUAUUUUGAAGAACUCGAACUCUCCUAAUGUAAAUUAAUAAUGGUUAUAUUUUCAUCUCUUUUAAGAAGAAGAAAAAAAAGAACAAUUUUUAGUUUAUAGCCAAUAGGAAUCAAUUGUUCAAUAUUAUGGAUUUAUGUUAAUAUUACAAUUAUUGUUAAUUAAAUUUUUUACAAAAUUUCUUCUUCUUUUUUGGUACAGUUGUAUGACAAGAUUUCUAUUAAAAUUAUAUAAAUACGCAAAUUUUGAAAUUAAAAUAAUAUGUUUUCCAUUUAAAUUAAAAUUAUAUAGAUACGCAAAUUUUGAAAUUAAAAUAAUAUGUUUUUCAUUUAGUAUUUGGACCACCACUUCCUAGCUAGUGUGAAACAAUUUACUGGUUGAUCAUAAACAUCAAUAUAAAAUAGCAACUGAUGCGAAAUAUAAGAACGAGAGAUAAACCCUCUCCAACAAGUUGAUUGAUUAAUGAAAAGUUAAAAAAGAUCGAAUAGCCUUCAACUAUUUUUAGUGGUCAACUCUAUAUAAUAUAAUAAAUAUAAUUAAGCUAAAAAAACUGCAUGUUAAUUUCUUUGAGUUAAGUGGUUGUCUGUUUGACUGAAUCCAUAUGGCACUAAAAUAAGUUGGGUGGUCAAAUAAAUGACUGUGGCUUCAGUUCACACAUAAAUUUAGAAGUUUCUUAACUCGAAUUGAUUCCAACACCUGAAUGCUGCGCUUUAUUUCUAAAAUGGAAGUCAUUCCCUACAUAAGAAAUAUUAGCGGUUGGAUAUAAUAUAAAGGAAUGUUUAUUAUGAUUAUAAAAAUUUGAUUUCAUAAUUUGGACUUGUUUGUUUAAGAUUUUAAAAAAUUAAUUUUUAUUUUAUAAUUUUAAAAUUAUUUCAGAGUAAAAGUUAUUUUGAAAAAUAAAAUUUAAUAAUAAAAAGUAAAAGUUAUUUUGAAAGUAAAAAAUAUCAAAAUGAUUUUGAGGCUUGAUGAAUUAGCAAUUGUUGCAUCAUAGUGGUGUCCAAUUGGACCCCAAUGUAGUGGUUUUGCUUUUUGCAACUGAAGAUUCUCAAUUUAUCUUUUCAAUUUAUCAUCGUUUGUUGAGUUUAAAGGUACGUUUGGUUCAAUAAAUUAGAGAAAAUAAGAAGCAAAGAUAUCUUUGGUUCAAUAAAUAGAAGAUGACGAGUUUUAAAUAGUUUUUUUUUUGUUUGUUUCAAAGAAAUAUAGAGAUUUUAAAUUAUUUUUAAGUUACACCGGCUCUCUUCCAUCUCUUUCAAUUUCCUACAAAAUAGAGUAAGAGCAAAAAAAAUAUUUAAGGAGUGAUUUUGUUCAUCUAUCCUCCAACCUAGGGAUGACAAUUUGACCCAUAUUCAAUGGAUACCCGCAAAAAAACACACAAUAGAUAGGGUAAAAACCCGCAUAAUGAGUAUGGGCGCGGGGAUGAGUAAUUAUCUACAAAAUUAAGCGGGUAUGGGUGCAGGUACGAGUACUAUAGUACUCACCCCGUCCACACCCGCACUUAUAUAAAUAUAUUAUUUAAUUAUUUAUUAUAUUAGUGUUUAGUUUAAUUAAUUAUUUUCUUUUAUGUUUUAACAUCUAUUAAUAUCAUUGAACCACUACAAUAUUUAUAACUGAAAGAUAAACGUUUGCAAACUUUUUAAUAAUUUGAUUAUGAUGAAUAUGUAAAUAAUUGUGACCUUAUAAUUAAGAGUUAUGUCUUAUUAAUCGUGACUUUAUAAUUAUACUUGCAAUUUUCUAUCAAUUGUUUUUACAGAUCUCAAAUAAUAUUGUCGUAAGAUUUGCAACUUCAUAAAUUAUUAUUAUGAAUAUUAUAAUGUGUAUUGUAACGAGUGUUUAUAAUAAAUGUUUUGAGUUAGAAAAUAUUUUAGUUUAUAAUACUUUAUGAUUGAAGUUAAAAUAUUUGAGUAAUUUUUAAAUUUAAUCGCAACAAUAUCAUUUAUUUAUCGAUAUAUUUUAGUUAAAGCAUGGGUAAUGGAUAUGAGUACGGGCACUUAGGUACUCAUAUGGCAAUGGUACGGAUAUUAAAAUUGAUACCCAAGAGAAUACGAACACGAAUAUGUGUAUUUUUUCAAAUUGCAGGUAUCGAAACGAGUACUAUAGUACCUUACCCAAAUCCUACUCAUUGUGAUCCCUCCAAAUAUACUCUGAGCAAUUAUGCUUGUAGAGUUUUAGUGAGAGCUGAACCACAUAACAAUUUUGGAAAGUUUAAUAUGAGGGACCUUUUGAACAUUUUACUAUUAUCAAUUAUAAAAUACACAAUAAACUGAUAUAAUAUAUCACUAUCGAAUUAAAUACAUUUGGUGGGUGUAGAGUUGGUCCCGAUAAGAGAUAAAUUGGUCCUAAGAAGAGAAAAAUAAUGAUAAAAUAAAAGGCAAAAUUAUAUAAAUAUAAGGUAUAGGUGUCAAAAGUUGUGUCUAAAUAUCAUUUAUAUACUAUUAAAAACAUAAAUUUUAAGUUAUAGUCAAUGGUGAGAUAUCCAUAUUCACAUGUGAAAACAAAUGUUUACAUCAUCAUCUUUAUUCAAGCCAAGGGAGCCCCUUUUAGGAUAGCCACUGGGUAGUUUUGGAUAAGUGUAAUGUUUUUCCUUCUUUGUUUUCCUACUGCAUUAUAUAUGUGUCAUCUUUUUGUUGGUUUGGUUCAUUUCAAGCAUUGAAUCCAACCCCUUUUUCUACUACAGUGGUCUCAAUAAGAUAUUUGUGAAUCAUCAUCAAUCAUUGGGUAUAAUGUGAUAGAUAGACAUGUGUUUGUCUCUAAGCACGCAAAUGCAUAUGUGUGUCCAUGCAAUGUACAAGAGGAUUUAUGCGUCGUUAGUAUAGUUUCCAUCUUAAACAUGUGACAAAGUCGUAAAAAUGUUUUAAGGUCUUGAUACAUGCUUUUGGUCUACUAAACCUAAAAGAUUUGGUUUUGCAACAAGUCUCAGUGGGUUGCACCCAAAACUUCUUUCUCAACUUAUAAUUUCUAUCUAUCGGAUCCUUAUGUUUUAUUCGCUCAUUUUAUAACUCUAGUUUGAGAUGCUCUGAACCUUUCAUUAGUCCUUUUAUUAUAUUAUGUUCACCUAUACAUGAGUCUGAAAUGUCAAUGUAAAACAUUCUAAUUUAUCUUUAUAAAUUAUUUAAAAAAAUUGAGGGGUCUAUAUCCCGAAAAUAACCAUAUUUUCUUAAACAAAACAAAUCACUUAUGUUUUAUAACAAAAUAGUUAUAUAAACCCUUUUGUGGUAUUUUCGACUUUUGAUGUAUAUUCUCUCAUUUAAUUGUAUAUUUUUAAUCUUUGUUGUCAUUUUUUUACUGUAUUAUUAUAUUUGAGAGUUUGUACCUUGCACAAUAAACUUGCUUACGAAUAAAUUAAGUAAAUCCGUAGACACUGCAUCUCCUAUUAUGCGUAUCUCUAGAAGCCUCAAAUUCAUGUCUCCUUUCUCAUAUCUGUUAUUGGGCAUGGCCAAGCAGCCAUUCACCCCUCCUUUGAUUUUUCUAUUCUCUUUCACCAUUCUAUUCAAACAAACAUUGUAUAAUAAUUAUGCAUCAUAAUGAAAUCAAAAUAGAUACAACAUAAACAUAUGAAUUUUGACUAAGGUGUAGAAAGUAUUGAGAUUAAGGAUAUUACGCCAUCACUUGUCAUAAUACUUUUCAUGAUGCAAUGUCCUUUCUUUAUUAACACCACAUGUGAAAUAGAAAUGACACGAGUAACUUUUGUAUCAUCAAAAACGAAAUCAACCAUGUAAAAUAAUUGUUUGCAAAACCACUUUUGUUUUGUGUCUAACAUUUGGGAAGAAAAUGUAUCCUAUAUCCGUCCAAACUAAUUACUCCCUUCUAUUCUUAUUUAUAAAAAAAAAAAAGUUAAUCAACAAAAAUCGAUGUAUUUGAUCUAAAAUUUAAUCAAAUACAUCAACUUUUAUAGAUUUAUUUUUCUUGUAAAUAAGAAUACAGAGAGUAUGUGAUAUUUGAAUGUCUAGCAAUUGAAGAGAGAAGGAGAACAACAACUAUUAGAAAUUGACAAAUUCCAAUGACUACACAUGUUUGUUUUGUUCAAUGGUUGGAAUGGGAGAAAUUUAAUAAAUAAGAGGGGAUGAGAGGGAAGAAUAAUAGAGAUAUAUUUGUUCAAAAAAGAAAAUAGAUGAAUUUUUAAUUUAAUUUAAGUUUGAUUCAAGCGGAGAUAAGAGAUUUUAAAUAGAUUAUAAAUUAUUUCAAUCUCAUUUUCUCUUCUCUCCCUCCAAAUCCCUCCAAAAUGAAUGGGGAAAAGAGAGACUUAAGAGAUUUUGUGUUCCCUUCACCUUUUCUUCCAUUAAAAUAAUUGAACCAAACAACUUAAAUUUAAAAUAAUAUAUCUCCUCUUAUUUGUUCCUCUCCAAUCCCAUCUAAUCAAACAUACACAAUUUGUUGUUAUCAUCAUUCAAUCUCAUAGGAGCUUUUCACUUGUCUAAUGGUGGUGAGAUAUUCAGAAUAAUAGAAGUAGAACGAUGGGGUGGGAUUUAGUGUAGAAAAUUUCAUAUAACAUCUUAUUGAACUCUUUAAACCAACAAUUGAUUAAAAUUGUGCACAUUAGUCAACAUGUAAUGAUAUUAGGAUAGUCCAUCACAAGAGUCGUCUAAAUUAUUGUUCAUACUAAAAAUUAUUAUAAGUGGUUAGUCGAAAAUGACUAAUAGUUGAAUGUGGUUUAACCGAUGCUCGGGUAGCUGAAUGCAAGUUAGACACGGAUUAAAUAUAAGUUAGACGAAUUUUUAUCAAAUCCAAGAAGUCCCAAGAGGUCUGUCGGAUUGGCAUAAGCUAUCAAAAGCAUGUGAAAAUUGAUAAUUCAACCGCAUGACUCAUAUUCCAUGUUUUUAGACACUAUAACUGAUGUGAGUUUCACGGAGGCAGAAAGUGGAAAGAAUGUGGAUUGAAGGAACUGUCGCGUCGUAAAAUGGAGAGAGAUCAAGGAAAAAUGUGGAACGCCACAAACACCCAGUAACAUACAUAAACACAUCACUUGCGAGAUUAGUCUAUUGAGGCAAAUUAUGAUUAAAUUUUGUAGGUUGUGAUAUAUUGGUUAGUAAGACUAGCUUUGUUUAUAAAUACACAUCGUAUAUUCAAUUGUAAACAUACAUAAACAAUUAAAAUUAUCAUUUUUCUCGCAAUUUAUCCUUUUAUCUUUCUGCUUUGUGUUUUCAUUAGUUUAGUAGCUCUUAAAAAAUCUAACUUCAUACUUAGCACUAUUUGGAAAGUUACAGAAUCCAUAGUCAAAAGAUAAAGUUGAUCCCUUAAAAAGAAAGAGAAUCAUUUGAAAGUUAAUAGUCGAUUCUUCGACUAACUUUUAAUUUUAACAACAAACUAAUUUGACAUGUCCGCUAAGACACAGCAACAAAUAUUUUUGUAUCUUUUUUUUUAUAAUAUAGAUUUUUAUAAGAGUUUAUAAUAUAGAAUAUACGCUAUAUUUUUGUAUCUCUUUUUUUUAUAAUAUAGAUUUUUUAUUUCAUUUGUAUAUAAUAUGUGUAUAUUAUUAUAUUUUUCAUAUUAUAAUCUAUCACAAUCAAUAACAAAAGCCUUUUUUUUUUACUUAUAUACAAAAGCCUUAUUUAAAAUUAGAACUAUAUUAUUUUUAUAUUAAUCAAUAUUUUUUUGAAAGAUAUUGAUAAAAUAUAUAAUUUUUUUAAAUAAGCAUUUUUUUUAUAUUGCAGUAUAAUGAAUUAUACUAUAUUAAACAAAACUACAAUGAACUACCAUUUUAUUGAAUCGUGAAUAUAUUAUAAGAAAUAAAUAAUUAUUUUUAAAUAUGUACUACUUUAUUUUUAGAGAAAAGUAAAUAUUUUGCAGUUGUUUUUAAAUUUUGUUAUCAAAUUAAUAUAGAAAGAAAAUUAAUUUAUUUUGAAAUACAUAUUUAUUUGUUUUCUAGUGACACAUAUUUCAAAUUAAUGUCUGUAAAAUCUUUUUAAUUGUAUGAAGUAGUAUAGAUAUAAAAAGAUCCACCUAGAUGUGUAAUAUAUAUUUCUUUGUAGUCACGUCACAAGUUUAAUUCCUAGUGGGAGUAUAUGUGGAAGAAUAUUUAUUGGGAAAUAUUAACCUCUAGAUUUUGCUAUUUUGAAUUAUUAGUCUUCGAUUUUUAUUAGAAAAUGCAUUGAACAGCAAAAAGGAAUGUCUGCUAUCUUUUAGAAAAUAGGAAAAUACUUAUAAUUGAUAAAAUGAAAAUAGUUAUUACGAACAAAAAGAUGAUUCCAUCAAAUAGAAAAAUAAUAAUAUUGAUUUAAUACAGUCAAAAGCAAACCCCGUAGAUAUACAUACGUGAGUGGUUUUGAGGCAAAAUCUUUUGAAGAUUACUUACUAUUCGACUGCGUGAUUAGUAAGGUAAGGUUAAGGUGUGUGUUAGUAGUGUCUUAUAACUGAAAACAAAACUCACAAAACUUUUGUAAGCAAAAAUAGCCGGCCAAGCCAACACAACAACAAACAAUAGCGUCUUCCCUCUUCCUAAGUAACUUUCUUUCAUCCCAUUCCCAAACAACACCUAACCCCUCUAAUAUCCAUCCCUUCAAAUAAAUAAAUAAAUAAAAUAAAAAUAAAAAAACAAAUUCUGACAUAUAUCCGAGAAUAAUGCUCUAACAUACUCUUCCAUUAUUUCUAUUUUCUAUUUUCCAUUUCCAUUUCCAUUUUGUUUCAUCUUCUUACACCUUCAUCACUUCUUCUAUAACAAACAACCAAAACCCUCUUCUUAUUCUUCUUUUUCACACUUCAAAACCUACCAAUCCCGUAUAACAGAAUAACAAAAAAAAAGAAAAAAAAACCUAAAAACUUAUUCU